rnacentral:rRNA from 1 species
GUGGGGAAUUUUGGACAAUGGGCGCAAGCCUGAUCCAGCAAUGCCGCGUGCAGGAAGAAGGCCUUCGGGUUGUAAACUGCUUUUGUACGGAACGAAACGGUCCUGGUUAAUACCUGGGGCUAAUGACGGUACCGUAAGAAUAAGCACCGGCUAACUACGUGCCAGCAGCCGCGGUAAUACGUAGGGUGCAAGCGUUAAUCGGAAUUACUGGGCGUAAAGCGUGCGCAGGCGGUUUUGUAAGACAGGCGUGAAAUCCCCGGGCUCAACCUGGGAAUUGCGCUUGUGACUGCAAGGCUGGAGUGCGGCAGAGGGGGAUGGGAUUCCGCGUGUAGCAGUGAAAUGCGUAGAUAUGCGGAGGAACACCGAUGGCGAAGGCAAUCCCCUGGGCCUGCACUGACGCUCAUGCACGAAAGCGUGGGGAGCAAACAGGAUUAGAUACCCUGGUAGUCC